rnacentral:rRNA from 1 species
GACGAACGCUGGCGGCGUGCUUAACACAUGCAAGUCGAACGGAAAGGCCCUGCUUUUGUGGGGUGCUCGAGUGGCGAACGGGUGAGUAACACGUGAGUAACCUGCCCUUGACUUUGGGAUAACUUCAGGAAACUGGGGCUAAUACCGGAUAGGAGCUCCUGCUGCAUGGUGGGGGUUGGAAAGUUUCGGCGGUUGGGGAUGGACUCGCGGCUUAUCAGCUUGUUGGUGGGGUAGUGGCUUACCAAGGCUUUGACGGGUAGCCGGGCUGAGAGGGUGACCGGCCACAUUGGGACUGAGAUACGGCCCAGACUCCUACGGGAGGCAGCAGUGGGGAAUAUUGCACAAUGGGAGGAAGCCUGAUGCAGCAACGCCGCGUGCGGGAUGACGGCCUUCGGGUUGUAAACCGCUUUCGCCUGUGACGAAGCGUGAGUGACGGUAAUGGGUAAAGAAGCACCGGCUAACUACGUG